rnacentral:tRNA from 1 species
UGCGGGUUGGAGCAGUGGUAGCUCGCCAGACUCAUGCCCUGGAGGUCGGAAGGUUCGAAUCCUCCACCCGCGA